CAAAGAGCCACUGUGAGGACAUUGGAAGCAACUACGUUAAUAUACGCAGGACACAGAAAGUUUGUGGAGCCAUUGGAUCCACCAACAUCUUAUGCCCUUGUAUCAGGAAUUUACUACCUGGUCCCCCUCAUAUUGCAAGUCUCAGGAAGGCAGACUCGUGGCAGGACGGAUAGACUGACACACUUCUUGUGAAUGCAGAUCUUUCCUGCUCCACAGGCAGUGCCAUCUUUCACUUCACCAAUGUCAGGUA